UAGGGAAUCUUCCGCAAUGGACGAAAGUCUGACGGAGCAACGCCGCGUGAGUGAAGAAGGAUUUCGGUUCGUAAAACUCUGUUGUUAGGGAAGAAAAAAUGUAUAGUAACUAUAUACAAAAGAGACGGUACCUAACCAGAAAGCCACGGCUAACUACGUGCCAGCAGCCGCGGUAAUACGUAGGUGGCAAGCGUUGUCCGGAAUUAUUGGGCGUAAAGCGCGCGCAGGUGGUUUAGAAAGUCUGAUGUGAAAGCCCACGGCUCAACCGUGGAGGGUCAUUGGAAACUAAUAAACUUGAGUGCAGGAGAGAAAAGUGGAAUUCCUAGUGUAGCGGUGAAAUGCGUAGAGAUUAGGAGGAACACCGGUGGCGAAAGCGGCUUUUUGGCCUGCAACUGACACUGAGGCGCGAAAGCGCGGGGAGCAAACAGG
rnacentral:rRNA from 1 species